rnacentral:rRNA from 1 species
AGAGUUUGAUCCUGGCUCAGAACGAACGCUGGCGGCGUGCCUAACACAUGCAAGUCGAGCGCGAAAGGAGCAAUCCGAGUAGAGCGGCGCACGGGUGCGUAACACGUGGAUAAUCUGCCCUUGAAUUCGGGAUAACCUUCCGAAAGGUUGGCUAAUACCGGGUAAGCUCACGGUGACUUCGGUCGCUGUGGGAAAAGUAGACCUCUGUUUACAAGUUUACGUUUGAGGAUGAGUCCGCGGCCCAUCAGCUAGUUGGCGGGGUAAUGGCCCACCAAGGCUACGACGGGUAGCUGGUCUGAGAGGACGAUCAGCCACACUGGAACUGAGACACGGUCCAGACUCCUACGGGAGGCAGCAGUGGGGAAUUUUCCACAAUGGGCGAAAGCCUGAUGGAGCAACGCCGCGUGUGCGAUGAAGGUCUUCGGAUCAUAAAGCACUUUCGACCGGGACGAAAAACCUUCUGGC